ensembl:snoRNA LOC120100442 small nucleolar RNA SNORA17
UCUGCCCCAAGAAUCUCUACUAAUGUGGCUGCUGUGUGUCAUGUGUCAGUAGGUGGCAGAGAGGAAAGAGACUACGGUUCAUGCUCAGUGUUCUGACCUAUGAACACCUGAACAAUGCACAGCUUGAAAUA